rnacentral:rRNA from 1 species
UACGGAGGGUGCGAGCGUUGUCCGGAAUCACUGGGCGUAAAGGGCGCGUAGGCGGCCUGAUAAGUAGGGGGUGAAAUCCUGCGGCUUAACCGCAGGGCUGCCUUCUAAACUGUCAGGCUCGAGCACAGUAGAGGCAGGUGGAAUUCCCGGUGUAGCGGUGAAAUGCGUAGAGAUCCGGAGGAACACCAGUGGCGAAGGCGACACGCUGGGCCGUACCUGACACUGAGGCGCGAUAGCAUGGGGAGCAAACAGG